rnacentral:rRNA from 1 species
CUCCGGGUGAUCCUGCCGGACCUGACUGCUAUCGGAUUGGUACUAAGCCAUGCGAGUCGUUGUAGCAAUACAAGGCGGACGGCUCAGUAACACGUAGUCAACCUAACCUAUGGACGUGGAUAACCUCGGGAAACUGAGAAUAAACCGCGAUAGAUCAUUAUGCCUGGAAUGGCUUAUGGUUCAAACAAUUUAUUGCCGUAGGAUGGGACUGCGGCCUAUCAGCUUGUUGGUGAGGUAAUGGCCCACCAAGGCUAUAACAGGUACGGGCUCUGAGAGGAGAAGCCCGGAGAUGGGUACUGAGACACGGACCCAGGCCCUAUGGGGCGCAGCAGGCGAGAAACCUUAGCAAUGUGCGAAAGCACGACUAGGUUAAUCCGAGUGAUUUCUGUUGAAGAAAUCUUUUGUCAGUCGUAAAACCACAGACGAAUAAGGGGUGGGCAAGUCUGGUGUCAGCCGCCGCGGUAAUACCAGCACCUCGAGUGGUCAGGAGGUUUAUUGGGCCUAAAGCAUCCGUAGCCGGCUACGCAAGUCUCCGGUUAAAUCCAGCUGCUCAACAGAUGGGCUGCCGGAGAUACUACAUAGCUAGGGAGCGGGAGAGGUAGACGGUAUUCUGUGGGUAGGGGUAAAAUCCACUGAUCCAUAGAGGACCACCAGUGGCGAAGGCGGUCUACCAGAACGCGUUCGACGGUGAGGGAUGAAAGCUGGGGGAGCAAACCGGAUUAGAUACCCGGGUAGUCCCAGCUGUAAACGAUGCAAACUCGGUGAUGCAUUGGCUUAUGGCCAAUGCAGUGCCGCAGGGAAGCCGUUAAGUUUGCCGCCUGGGAAGUACGGACGCAAGUCUGAAACUUAAAGGAAUUGGCGGGGGAGCA